CGGCCGCGUCGACGUGCAUGUGGUGGAUGCCUUGGCGAUCACAGGCGAUGAAGGACGUUGUAGCCUGCGUUAUGCUGCGGGGAGCUGGCAAACGAGCUUUGAUCCGCAGAUGUCCGAAUGGGGAAACCCACUCCGAAAGGAGUAUCCCGCGCUGAAUACAUAGGCGCGAGGAAGCGAACCGAGCGAACUGAAACAUCUAAGUAGCUCGAGGAAAGAAAUCAACCGAGAUUCCCUAAGUAGCGGCGAGCGAACGGGGAAGAGCCCAAACCAGCUUCGGCUGGGGUUGUAGGACGUUCACAACGGAUUUAAAGACUU
rnacentral:rRNA from 1 species